UGAACCAUAUUCAGAAAGCCAUGUGAA
rnacentral:piRNA from 1 species